UACGUAGGCAGCAAGCGUUGUUCGGAAUUACUGGGCGUAAAGAGUGUGUAGGCGGUGCUCCAAGUCUGGUGUGAAAUCUCCCGGCUUAACUGGGAGGGUGCAUUAGAAACUGGAAUGCUAGAGGAUGGGAGAGGUAAGCGGAAUUCCUGGUGUAGCGGUGAAAUGCGUAGAUAUCAGGAGGAACACCUGUGGUGUAGACAGCUUACUGGACCAUUUCUGACGCUGAGGCGCGAAAAGCUAGGGGAGCAAACGGG
rnacentral:rRNA from 1 species